UGGGGGAUAUUGCACAAUGGGGGAAACCCUGAUGCAGCGACGCCGCGUGGAGGAAGAAGGUUUUCGGAUUGUAAACUCCUGUCGUACGGGACGAUAAUGACGGUACCGUACAAGAAAGCCACGGCUAACUACGUGCCAGCAGCCGCGGUAAAACGUAGGUGGCAAGCGUUGUCCGGAAUUACUGGGUGUAAAGGGAGCGCAGGCGGGGCGGCAAGUUGGAAGUGAAAUCUAUGGGCUCAACCCAUAAACUGCUUUCAAAACUGCUGGUCUUGAGUAGUGCAGAGGUAGGCGGAAUUCCCGGUGUAGCGGUGGAAUGCGUAGAUAUCGGGAGGAACACCAGUGGCGAAGGCGGCCUACUGGGCACCAACUGACGCUGAGGCUCGAAAGCAUGGGUAGCAAACA
rnacentral:rRNA from 1 species